rnacentral:rRNA from 1 species
UACAGAGGGGGCAAGCGUUGUUCGGAAUUACUGGGCGUAAAGGGCGCGUAGGCGGCCUGUUAAGUCGGACGUGAAAUCCCUCGGCUCAACCGGGGAACUGCGUCCGAUACUGGCGGGCUUGGAUUCGGGAGAGGGAUGUGGAAUUCCAGGUGUAGCGGUGAAAUGCGUAGAUAUCUGGAGGAACACCGGUGGCGAAGGCGGCAUCCUGGACCGACAUUGACGCUGAGGCGCGAAAGCCAGGGGAGCAAACGGG